rnacentral:rRNA from 1 species
CUUGACUGCUAUCGGAUUGAUACUAAGCCAUGCGAGUCUUUGUAGCAAUACAAGGCAGACGGCUCAGUAACACGUAGUCAAUCUACCCUAUGGACGGGGAUAACCUCGGGAAACUGAGAAUAAUACCCGACAGAUCAUUAUACCUGGAAUGGUUUAUGGUUCAAAUGAUUUUUCGCCGUAGGAUGGGACUGCGGUCUAUCAGCUUGUUGGUGAGGUAAUGGCCCACCAAGGCUAUAACAGAUACGGGCUCUGAGAGGAGAAGCCCGGAGAUGGGUACUGAGACACGGACCCAGGCCCUAUGGGGCGCAGCAGGCGAGAAAACUUUGCAAUGUGCGAAAGCACGACAAGGUUAAUCCGAGUGGUUUCUGCUAAAGGAACCUUUUGUUAGUCCUAGAACCACUAACGAAUAAGGGGUGGGCAAGUUCUGGUGUCAGCCGCCGCGGUAAAACCAGCACCUCAAGUGGUCAGGAUGAUUAUUGGGCCUAAAGCAUCCGUAGCCGGCUCUGUAAGUUUUCGGUUAAAUCUGUACGCUCAACGUACAGGCUGCCGGUAAUACUGCAGAGCUAGGGAGUGGGAGAGGUAGACGGUACUCGGGAGGAAGUGGUAAAAUGCUUUGAUCUCUCGAUGACCACCUGUGGCGAAGGCGGUCUACCAGAACACGUCCGACGGUGAGGGAUGAAAGCUGGGGGAGCAAACCGGAUUAGAUACCCGGGUAGUCCCGGCUGUAAACUAUGCAAACUAAGUGAUGCAUUGGCUUGUGGCCAAUGCAGUAUUUCAGGGAAGCCGUUAAGUUUGCCGCCUGGGAAGUACGUACGCAAGUAUGAAACUUAAAGGAAUUGGCGGGGGAGCACCACAAGGGGUGAAGCCUGCGGUUC